rnacentral:misc_RNA from 1 species
AACGCACAUUGCGCCCGCUAGUAUUCUGGCGGGCAUGCCUGUUCGAGCGUCAUUUCAACCAUCAAGCGCCUGCGCUUGUGUUGGAGCCCUGCGGCUGCCGCAGGCUCCCAAACCCAGUGGCGGGCUCGUCGUCGUACCGAGUGCAGUAAACUUACCACGCUCAGGGCACGCGACGGGUGACCGGCCGUAAAACCCCCCCCCUUCUCAAGGUUGACCUCGGAUCAGGUAGGAAUACCCGCUGAACUUAA